rnacentral:misc_RNA from 1 species
GAUGAAGAACGUAGCGAAAUGCGAUAAGUAAUGUGAAUUGCAGAAUUCAGUGAAUCAUCGAAUCUUUGAACGCACCUUGCGCCCUUUGGCCAUUCCGAAGGGCAUGCCUGUUUGAGUAUCAUGAACACCUCAACUCUUUAUGGUUUUCCAUGAUGAGCUUGGACUCUGGGGGUUUUGCUGGCUCACAGUCGGCUCCUCUAAAAUGAAUCAGCUUACCAGUGUUUGGUGGGUAUCAUGGGUGUGAUAACUAUCUACGCUUGUGGUUUUUCCACCAGGUAACCUUCAGCAGUGGAGGUUCGCUGGAGCUCAUAGAUGUCUCUCCUCAGUAAGCACAGCCCUUUGAAUGUUUGAUCUCAAAUCAGGUAGGACUACCCGCUGAACUUAAGCAUAUCAAUAAGCGGAGGA